rnacentral:rRNA from 1 species
GAAACGACUGCUAAGACUGGAUAGGAGACAAGAAGGCAUCUUUUUGUUUUUAAAAGACCUAGCAAUAGGUAUGCUUAGGGAGGAGCUUGCGUCACAUUAGUUAGUUGGUGGGGUAAAGGCCUACCAAGACUAUGAUGUGUAGCCGGGCUGAGAGGUUGAACGGCCACAUUGGGACUGAGACACGGCCCAAACUCCUACGGGAGGCAGCAGUAGGGAAUUUUCGGCAAUGGAGGAAACUCUGACCGAGCAACGCCGCGUGAACGAUGAAGUAUUUCGGUACGUAAAGUUCUUUUAUUAGGGAAGAAUAAAUGAUGGAAAAAUCAUUCUGACGGUACCUAAUGAAUAAGCCCCGGCUAACUAUGUGCCAGCAGCCGCGGUAAUACAUAGGGGGCAAGCGUUAUCCGGAAUUAUUGGGCGUAAAGGGUGCGUAGGCGGUUAAAUAAGUUUAUGGUCUAAGUGCAAUGCUUAACAUUGUGAUGCUAUAAAAACUGUUUAACUAGAGUAAGAUAGAGGCAAGUGGAAUUCCAUGUGUAGUGGUAAAAUGCGUAAAUAUAUGGAGGAACACCAGUAGCGAAGGCGGCUUGCUGGGUCUUUACUGACGCUGAGGCACGAAAGCGUGGGGAGCAAACAGGAUUAGAUACCCUGGUAGUCCACGCCGUAAACGAUGAGUACUAAAUGUUGGGUAAAACCAGUGUUGAAGUUAACACAUUAAGUACUCCGCCUGAGUAGUACGUACGCAAGUAUGAAACUUAAAGGAAUUGACGGGACUCCGCACAAGCGGUGGAUCAUGUUGUUUAAUUCGAAGGUACCCGAAAAACCUCACCAGGUCUUGACAUGCUUCUGCAAAGCUGUAGAAACACAGUGGAGGUUAUCAGUUGCACAGGUGGUGCAUGGUUGUCGUCAGCUCGUGUCGUGAGAUGUUGGGUUAAGUCCCGCAACGAGCGCAACCCUUAUUGUUAGUUGCCAGCACGUAAUGGUGGGGACUUUAGCAAGACUGCCAGUGAUAAAUUGGAGGAAGGUGGGGACGACGUCAAAUCAUCAUGCCCCUUAUGACCUGGGCUACAAACGUGAUACAAUGGCUGUUACAAAGGGUAGCUGAAACGUAAGUUUUUGGCGAAUCUCAAAAAAACAGUCUCAGUUCGGAUUGAAGUCUGCAACUCGACUUCAUGAAGUUGGAAUCGCUA